GCCUCAUCAGGAGUUCUCUUGAAGCACUUCAGGAUGCAUCUUUUCAAGAACUUUUCUGAAGUGUUUGGGAGAACUCUUGGUGUCAC
rfam:Triticum aestivum genome assembly, contig: Triticum_aestivum_CS42_TGACv1_scaffold_096083_2AL